GACGAACGCUGGCGGCGUGCUUAAUACAUGCAAGUCGAGCGAGGCCCAUCCAGUGGCAACACUGGGGAAGGCCGAGCGGCGAACGGGUGAGUAACACGUGAGCAACCUGCCCCGAAGUCUGGAAUAACAUCGGGAAACCGGGUAGCUAAUACCGGAUUGCCCCACCCUGACCGCAUGAUCGGGUGAGGAAAGAUUUAUCGCUUCGGGAGGGGCUCGCGGCCUAUCAGCUAGNGGUCGGGGUAACGGCCCACCAAGGCGUCGACGGGUAGCUGGUCUGAGAGGACGACCAGCCACACUGGGACUGAGACACGGCCCAGACUCCUACGGGAGGCAGCAGUAGGGAAUCUUGCGCAAUGGGCGAAAGCCUGACGCAGCAACGCCGCGUGGGGGA
rnacentral:rRNA from 1 species